rnacentral:rRNA from 1 species
CCUACGGGAGGCAGCAGUGAGGAAUAUUGGUCAAUGGGCGCGAGCCUGAACCAGCCAAGUAGCGUGAAGGAUGAAUGCCCGACGGGGUGUAAACUGCGUGUAUAAAGGAAUAAAGUGAGGCACGGGUGCCUUUUUGUAUGUACUUUAUGAAUAAGGAUCGGCUAACUCCGUGCCAGCAGCCGCGGUAAUACGGAGGAUCCGAGCGUUAUCCGGAUUUAUUGGGUUUAAAGGGAGCGUAGGUGGUUUGUUAAGUCAGUUGUGAAAGUUUGCGGCUCAACCGUAAAAUUGCAAUUGCUACUGGCAGCCUUUAGUACAGUUGAGGUAGGCGGAAUUCGUGUUGUAGCCGUUCACUGCU